rnacentral:rRNA from 1 species
ACACUCCUGCGGGAGGCAGCAGUGGGGAAUUUUGGACAAUGGGGGCAACCCUGAUCCAGCAAUGCCGCGUGAGUGAAGAAGGCCUUCGGGUUGUAAAGCUCUUUUGUCAGGGAAGAAACGGUGGUGGCGAAUAACUACUACUAAUGACGGUACCUGAAGAAUAAGCACCGGCUAACUACGUGCCAGCAGCCGCGGUAAUACGUAGGGUGCAAGCGUUAAUCGGAAUUACUGGGCGUAAAGCGUGCGCAGGCGGUUGUGUAAGUCAGAUGUGAAAUCCCCGGGCUCAACCUGGGAAUUGCAUUUGAGACUGCACGGCUAGAGUGUGUCAGAGGGGGGUAAAAUUCCACGUGUAGCAGUGAAAUGCGUAGAUAUGUGGAGGAAUACCGAUGGCGAAGGCAGCCCCCUGGGAUAACACUGACGCUCAUGCACGAAAGCGUGGGGAGCAAACAGGAUUAGAUACCCCUGUAGUCCCAUG